AGACGGAGGGUGCAAGCGUUAAUCGGAAUUACUGGGCGUAAAGCGCUCGUAGGCGGCUUGUUAAGUCGGAUGUGAAAGCCCUGGGCUCAACCUGGGAACUGCAUUCGAUACUGGCAGGCUAGAGUAUAGUAGAGGCAAGUGGAAUUCCGGGUGUAGCGGUGAAAUGCGUAGAUAUCCGGAGGAACAUCAGUGGCGAAGGCGACUUGCUGGACUAAUUCUGACGCUGAGGAGCGAAAGCGUGGGGAGCAAACGGGAUUAGAAACCCCUGUAGUCC
rnacentral:rRNA from 1 species